CCUACGGGUGGCAGCAGUGGGGGAUAUUGCACAAUGGGGGAAACCCUGAUGCAGCGACGCCGCGUGUGGGAAGACGGUCUUCUGGAUUGUAAACCACUGUCCCCAGGGACGAAAAUGACGGUACCUGGGGAGGAAGCUCCGGCUAACUACGUGCCAGCAGCCGCGGUAGUACGUAGGGAGCAAGCGUUGUCCGGAAUUACUGGGUGUAAAGGGAGCGUAGGCGGGGAUGAAAGUUGGGUGUAAAAACUACCGGCUCAACCGAUAGUCGCACUCAAAACUGCAACUCUUGAGUGAAGUAGAGGCAGGCGGAAUUCCUAGUGUAGCGGUGAAAUGCGUAGAUAUUAGGAGGAACACCAGUGGCGAAGGCGGCCUGCUGGGCUUUUACUGACGCUGAGGCUCGAAAGUGUGGGGAGCAAACAGGAUUAGAUACCCCUGUAGUC
rnacentral:rRNA from 1 species